AGACGUUAAAUCCAACAAUAUAUUUGAAAGUCGCAAAGGAUAAUGCGAAGGCAUUGUCACCAUGGUACACCAAGGACAGUCAAGACAAAUGGUUAAUUCCAGAUUGUUCAACAUCAUCUCACGCCCUUUUAUGGGGGAGUUCGGGCCUUAAGUCCCCCGUAGGCACAAGGAAGAAACUAGUAUGACCUGAUAAUAAAGUAGCCAGCGCUGCAUAGAACCCGCAGAAUGCAGCGGCCUACGUUAAUAUCAUCGAGCCACCUCCGCCUUUCAAAAUCUUUUCAUUCUGUGACAGAUAACCUGCGGCGCUUCAAGGGUUGUUUUAGUCCUCGUCGACUGAGAAGAAGAUUCUUGAACUCACGUCAACCAGAAACUCAGAUCUAGCAUUAGGAAAAGGCUAAUCAGCGCGAUUGAUGAUCUCAAGGAAGCGAGGAGAAACAAAAAAGUGAUGAUGCCCCACAUGACAAGGUAGGGGCCAAUGCCGUUAGCGAGCAUUGAGAUAUCAGAGGCGUAGGACGCUGUUACUUCAAAUUGAGGAAUGUAGAGAACUGUCGUCCUUUUGGUAAGUUAAGCCACCCCUGAGAGAUGGCGUCAUUAUGAUAUACCUGCAAAAGAGAACCAAAAGCCUCCGUAUGAAGUAAAAGCUAUUGCCUAACGACCAAUAAGCAAAAAUCCUGGUUGCG
rnacentral:sRNA from 1 species